CAGACCUUAAAGACGAGCAGAAUGAAGAGCAGCAGCAGAAUAAUCUGAAUGCUGAUGACAAACAGCUGAGAGAAGAGGUGGGCCAGCAUCGUCUCCAAGGAGCUCACACCUGGUGGAGACAGAAGAACUCAACUCAAGAGCCGCCGCCCACCUGCGACCCAGCAUCGGUCCAGAAGCCCCUCCUUUCGCUCCAGGACGAAGGACAGCGCCGUCAGCCCCACAGCCAGGUAGAAGGUGAUGCUGGAGAGGACAGACAUGAGCCCGGCGCGUGUGCAGCAUGUGAUGCCCCCACAAACCCACAUCCACCAACACCAACCUGAGCACAGCGCCGGGCGUCACAAAGGUGGUGAAGUCGGUGUCAGCGCUGCCGUAGAUCGGCUCCUCGAACUGCAACACAGCAGCGGCGGGUUUCACUUGGACCUGGCGUGUCUGGAUCUUCUGAACACACUGCACCUCUUGUGAAAUGUGACUUUUCUUACCUUUAUUGGCAGCGCCACCAAGUACGACAUACUGCCCAGCUUGUCCUCCACAAAAGCCUGCGGACGACAUUUGAAUCAACACACAAUGGAAGAGCGACUGUGACACGGGCCACGACUGAGGCUGAUGUUGGCUUUGUCCAAAGUCACAGGACAAACUUAAAAAUUCAGUAAAAGCCGUGGGUUUAAAGACUUGACCAUUUUCAGUUAGGAAUUCUGUGUACAAACAGCACGACUCAUGUUUGUACCUGAAAGGCUUCGUGAAGUUUCUUCUGCAGCAUCAGGGCAAUUUGUCGAUCUGGAAAAAGAAAAACAUUCCAAAUGCAUCAAAUCCGCCUCCUGGAUUAAAAGAAUUAUGAAAGAU